UCCGCAACGAGCGCAACCCUUGCCUUUAGUUGCCAGCAGUUCGGCUGGGCACUCUAAAGGGACUGCCGGUGUUAAACCGGAGGAAGGUGGGGAUGACGUCAAGUCCUCAUGGCCUUUAUGACCAGGGCUACACACGUACUACAAUGGCCGAUACAAAGGGCAGCGACACUGCGAGGUGAAGCCAAUCCCGUAAAAUCGGUCUCAGUCCGGAUUGGAGUCUGCAACUCGACUCCAUGAAGUUGGAAUCGCUAGUAAUCGUGGAUCAGCAUGCCACGGUGAAUACGUUCCCGGGCCUU
rnacentral:rRNA from 1 species